GUGAUUCACAGCCAUUAUUGUAAGGAGGCUGUUAUGUAUUUUUAGUGCUGCUGGGACCAUAGGAAUUUUUGAGUGACUUUGACUGCAGACAACAAUGUGGAGAAUAAUCCUGACUGUGAAAAGUGCUGUUGGGGCUGCAGAAAAGUAGAGAAUUAUUUUGACCAAGGGCAAUCAUGUCUUCUCUGACAAGAAAUACAAGUCUGUCCAGGCGAGGAAUUGUGGGUUGCUGAGACCGGGAGGAAAAAAAAUGCUGGAAAGAGAAGGUGAAGCUUUGUUGAGAAUUGACAGCAUGUUCAGUUAACUGGGAGCUACAGGUGGCGACUUCUCCUGGUGGCCAUCUCUUCAACGUGCACCACAGAAAUGCUCUGCACUUCCUGGUCUCUGGAGGUCCUUCCCUGUCACUCCUCUUGACCUGGAGCAUCCCUUUCUGGGGAGGUUUGUUCACUGUCUUGGAGACCCUCUGGACACCGAAUUGGCUCAGGAGGGCUGUAUGCUGUAAGAUCCUAUUGUCAGCAAUCCUUCCUGAUUCGCCUCAGAAGAUGGGAACAUGUGCUAAUGGUUGGAAGGAGUGCUGUGACUCAUCCAUAGGAAAACAGCAGAACUGA
rnacentral:lncRNA from 1 species